ACUCCUACGGGAGGCAGCGGUAGGGAAUAUUGGGCAAUGGGCGAAAGCCUGACCCAGCGACGCCGCGUGAGGGAUGAAGGUCUUCGGAUUGUAAACCUCUUUCAGUAGGGAAGAAGCGAAAGUGACGGUACCUAAAGAAGAAGCACCGGCUAACUAUGUGCCAGCAGCCGCGGUAAUACC
rnacentral:rRNA from 1 species